CCCUGGAGCCAUCGGCCGGCGAAAGAAAGUAUUCCGAGGACAAAAGAGGAGAUGCCAGAGAAAGCAAGGAGCAUCAUGCAUGCAGCACACCCUACAAAGGGAGGUGUAAGGGAAAUGGCGUUAUCCCCAUUUGGCAGCGGAGACGCUGGGACUCACAGAAGCUGAGUGACUUGAUCCUGGAUGCCGUGGGGCAAGAGUCAGAAACCAGUGCGGCAGCAGAAGCCAGCAGAUACCCAGAGAAGCCGUGGUGCAGACCCAUGAGUAAGCGGAAACUGGGGAAAGCAGCAGCUGGGAGACGGAGAAAAGAUAUUGGCCA